AAACAUCCAUAGCUACUGUCACUGCCCCUCCGUCGCCGCUAAGCUCCAACCGGCUCAGCAUCCGUCCUCGGCGGCGCCGCUACCCACAACUGAUUUUGGAUGGAAGAAUGGGUGAGGAAGAGAUGGCUGCGUGAGUUAAAAAUAAGGAGAGGAAAAUCAGUUGGAGAUUUUGAGGGAAGAUGGAGAUAUGGCAAAACCGUGUGGGAGAAGUUGGGAGAAUUAUUUGACCAAAAAUUUGACUGCAGAAAAGAAUUUAUUUUAUUGGGCUUCCCAACAAAAAAAGGGGCUAGAACAAGAUUGAUAAAGUAAUAGGCCCAUAUAUUUAAGUCAGAACAUAGGUUAAAUUGUUGUGUCUUUAUUUUAGUACUUUGGUGUUAUUCCGAGUACUUGUCAACGACUGCCCAUUUUUCUAAUCAACGAAUCUCACGUCAAUCUCGUCGACUAUUUUCACCACA